rfam:Puccinia sorghi strain RO10H11247 Scaffold_1876, whole genome shotgun sequence.
AGCGAGAUGGCGCAGCUGGUAGCGCGCUGGGCUCAUACUGAGUGUAACCCAGAGGUCGUCGGAUCGAAACUGACUCUCGCUA